UGGUUACCCUUCUUCUCCCCUUUCCCCUUCCCUUUCCCCUUCCCCUUGGGUUGCAAAUCAGGUUGGUCAAGGACCUCUUCCGGUUCCUCCUUCAUCCAGAUCUUUGAGGCUCCCUUGCUCAGGCCUGGUCAAAUGAUGCAAAUCUGAAAUGAUCCACUGGUACAGAAGUCUACGCGCUACAAGGAUUUCCACCAAGAGCAGAAGAGAGCAGUAAUGAUAACAUGGUGUUUUGGUAGCAAGCGAGUAGCUAUUACUGGAUCAUGGGACAAUUGGAAGACCAUAGAACCCUUGCACUCUUUGGGUAAAGGUUUCAUUAUCAUGAAGAUGCUCCCAUUUGGUGUUUACCACUACCAAUUCAUUGUAGAUGAGCUGAGGAGAUAUGCUCCAAACUUACCAUGCGAAUUUGAUGAGUCUGGGCGAAUUUGAU